rnacentral:rRNA from 1 species
GACGAACGCUGGCGGCGUGCUUAACACAUGCAAGUCGAGCGAUGAAGCCGGAGCUUGCUCUGGUGAAUUAGUGGCGAACGGGUGAGUAACACGUGAGUAACCUGCCCUUGACUCUGGGAUAACUGCGGGAAACUGUAGCUAAUACCGGAUACGACCCUCGGAGGCAUCUCCUGGGGGUGGAAAGAAUUUCGGUCAAGGAUGGAACUCGCGGCCUAUCAGCUAGUUGGUGAGGUAAAGGCUCACCAAGGCGACGACGGGUAGCCGGCCUGAGAGGGUGACGGGCCACACUGGGACUGAGACACGGCCCAGACUCCUACGGGAGGCAGCAGUGGGGAAUAUUGCACAAUGGGCGCAAGCCUGAUGCAGCAACGCCGCGUGAGGGACGACGGCCUUCGGGUUGUAAACCUCUUUUAGUAGGGAAGAAGCGAAAGUGACGGUACCUGCAGAAAAAGCACCGGCUAACUACGUGCCAGCAGCCGCCGUAA